GCGUAAGAAGUUUUAAAGUGUGAAAUGGACCACUAAUGCUUAAAUGGUCUUUCAAUUUAUGGGAUUGUUGUCCAUUGAAUUGAAUUACCAUUUAAACUGUGGUGGUCCUUUGGAGCACAACCCACAAGACUUGAAUUUUUUUGUGAGAUUUGGGUUCGACAUUAUAGGUGCCGAACCAGUCUAAUUUAUAUUGGAAAGAUGGGUUUUGCAGUUUCAGAUGCUAAAUUCAUCGUUUUCUCUACAACAAUGGUUUCAACACUUUAUGCCUUGGACUUUUGACUGUCAUUAUCAUCAUCAUUUGAGCUUUAACUCAACUAUUUGGACUCGGCAAACCCAUUCUAACAUUGAAAAAAAAAAAA
rnacentral:lncRNA from 1 species